GACGGAGGAUGCAAGCGUUAUCCGGAAUUAUUGGGCGUAAAACGUCCGCAGGUGGACAUACAAGUCUGCUGUCAAAGUGCAGAGCUUAACUCUGUAAAGGCGGUGGAAACUGUAGGUCUUGAGUAUGGUAGGGGUAGAGGGAAUUCCCGGUGUAGCGGUGAAAUGCGUAGAUAUCGGGAAGAACACCAGUGGCGAAAGCGCUCUACUGGGCCAUAACUGACACUGAGGGACGAAAGCUAGGGGAGCGAAAGGG
rnacentral:rRNA from 1 species